CUCGUGAUGUAAGCACUCGGGUCAUAACAAACACAAGGCAACAUGUGCUGUCGUGGUUGAUUCGCAUGUGUAGACGUUAUAUGAUUGUGAAUUGAAAUGUUGCAGAGCAGCGUACGACGGUGAAGGGGGGGGGGGGGCGGCAAUCGAAAUGCAGUAAAGGAAAAAAGAAGACUUUAUGCCUGCUUGUAGAGGCAAUUACACUGCUCGGGAAAGAGUCAGUACAUUCCAUUUCCCUCGUGAUGAAGAUGCAUGGAGAGAAUGGAUAAGAGCAGUUCACCGUGAUAAUUUCAUCCCUUCAGAUCACUCUGUGAUUUGUGAGCUGCAUUUCCAUGCACACGAAAUAGAAAGAAGUACAUCGUCAUAUGAUCCUAAGACUGGAAGAUUAAUUACACGCCUCUUGAUCGUCCACGUUUAAGGAAAGGUGCAAUACCAGCACUAUUGCCAGAAUGUCCUGAUUAUUUAACUACACCACAAGAAGGAAAAUAUCAUUCUUUUCGUUGAAGGUAUUAUGUGAUAAAAUUAAUAGUAGCCAUUCGAAUGAGUGGACCUGUGUCAAAAAGUUGAGUAGUGUGUAUUUUCUUUUAAUUAGUGAAAUGCCAUUUUUGAGAGUUCUGUGGUAUGUUACAAUUAACGCAAGUCUCACUUUCACUGUCCAUGUCAAUGAUUAACAGCUUGGUCAAAUAGGGAACAUAAAGUUUCUAGUAACCGUAAGUACCAAAACACAGUUAGCUAAUAUUCUUAAUAUUGUCGAGUUAAAAUUUAGCAACAGAGAAGAUCAGGAACCUAAUGAGAGUAUUGAUUUCAUAACCACUAUUUUGAAUAAUUUAUCUGAAAACUUGCCAGAUAAACAUGAAAUUAUAAACGUUAUGGAAGAACAGAUUCCAUUGCUAAAAUGCAAGAAGAAAAUUGCAAGAUAUUCGUGGGAUAUUUUAGUUUUGUGGUCAUUAGUUCAUUCUAUUUCUCCUCACUGUUACAAGUUUUUAAGAAGCAGUGGUAUAAUAACUAUGUCUAGCCCUGCUACUCUGACUAGAAUAUUUGGUGGAUUUGCUAGUAAUACUGCUCUUGAACAAGUUCCUGCACAUUUUCUGGGAUACAUAACUAGGAUAGUGAUAUUUUUAACUGAAGAAGACUGGGCGGUCUCCUAUCGAUGCAUGGAAUCCAUUUAAAGUCACAAAUGGGCUACAAAGGGGGAAACGUAGUUGGCCGGGCCUAUAAUAGUAGUGAAUUUGCAUCCACAGCCUACGUAUUCAUGGUGCGUGGUUUGGAUACACAGUACACCGAUGUAGCUCAUAUUCUGCCGGUCAAAGUCUUGCAGGCUCCUGCUCUUCUCACCUUCCUUAAAGAUAUUGUAUUGAAGUUAGAAAGCAUACAGUUUGAAGUUGUUGGU